UACAAUGGAGAGUUUGAUCCUGGCUCAGGAUGAACGCUAGCUACAGGCUUAACACAUGCAAGUCGAGGGGAAACGGCAUUAAGUGCUUGCACUUUUUGGACGUCGACCGGCGCACGGGUGAGUAACGCGUAUCCAACCUGCCCCUUACCAGGGAAUAACCCGUUGAAAGACGGACUAAUGCCCUAUGCAGUCCUUUGACGGCAUCAGAUUAGGACUAAAGAUUCAUCGGUAUGGGAUGGGGAUGCGUCUGAUUAGCUUGUUGGCGGGGUAACGGCCCACCAAGGCAUCGAUCAGUAGGGGUUCUGAGAGGAAGGUCCCCCACAUAGGAACUGAGACACGGUCCUAACUCCUACGGGAGGCAGCAGUGAGGAAUAUUGGUCAAUGGGCGGUAGCCUGAACCAGCCAAGUAGCGUGCAGGA
rnacentral:rRNA from 1 species